rnacentral:rRNA from 1 species
GGGAUCGAAGAUGAUUAGAUACCAUCGUAGUCUUAACCAUCAACUAUGCCGACUGAGGAUUCUUUAAAUUUGUAAAUGAAUUUAAGAGCACUCCAUGAGAAAUCAAAGUCUUUGGGUUCCGGGGGGAGUAUGGUCGCAAGUCUGAAACUUAAAGGAAUUGACGGAAGGGCACCACCAGGAGUGGAGCCUGCGGCUUAUAUUGACUCAACACGGGAAAACUUACCAGGUCCAGACAUAGUGAGGAUUGACAGAUUGAUAGCUCGUUCUUGAUUCUAUGGGUGGUGGUGCAUGGCCGUUCUUAGUUGGUGGUUUGAACUGUCUGCUUAAUUGCGUUAACGAACGAGACCUCAGCCUACUAAAUAGUGUGCAUAUUCGAAAGAAUGUGUUCGACUUCUUAGAGGGACAUUUCGGUUUUACCGGAAGGAAGUUCGAG